AGAUUGAACGCUGGCGGCAUGCCUAACACAUGCAAGUCGAACGGGAGUAGCAAUACUCUAGUGGCGGACGGGUGAGGAAUACGUAGGAAUUUGCCCUUAAGUGGGGGAUAACCCGGGGAAACCCGGAUUAAUACCGCAUGACCUCGAAAGAGCAAAGUGAGGGAUCGCAAGACCUCACGCUUUUGGAGAAGCCUACGUCGGAUUAGCUAGUUGGUGAGGUAAUGGCUCACCAAGGCGACGAUCCGUAACUGGUCUGAGAGGAUGAUCAGUCACACCGGAACUGAGACACGGUCCGGACUCCGUACGGGAGGCAGCAGGUGGGGAAUAUUGGACAAGUGGGCGCAAGCCUGAUCCAGCAAUGCCGCGUGGUGAAGAGG
rnacentral:rRNA from 1 species